GACGCGUUUCUAAAAUUUGAUGAUGAAUUGUGUGGAACAACUGGAUUCCACCUUCUCCUCUCUACUGAUUUUCAACUUCCAUACCCAUUUGUGUCAUUUUUCCUUCUUCAGACCAUUCAUUUCUCUCUCUUUCUUGCUAUGUUCCUUUCCGCUAUUUUUUCUUAUUUCUCUCUAGUCUGGGCUACCUCACAUACAUGAUAUUUGCUUUAUGUUCUCCCUUUCUUCAUUUGUGAUUACAGGUUUGCUACUUCUUAUUCUCUGUGCAUGAAGAUUAUACUUCUGAGAAUCAAUUCAUGUGUAAGGAUCCUUAUGUAUAAAAAGAAAAUGUUUAAUUUCUAGAGCCAGAACAAUUAGCAGCCCAAUCAGGAGAAAGAGUUAAUUUCAAGCCCUUGGGGUGCAUUUAUCUAUUUUUUUUAAACAAAAAUUUUAGUGUCUGUUUUUGUUUCUGUAAUGAUAACAGUCAGUUACUGAUUUUGAUACUUUAUUUGUAUUGAGCAGUUCUUCUUGGGUAAAUACUUCAGCUUUAAUAACGGGAUAUAAAUUUUUAAAAAUACUUCACCUCUAGAUUCAAUUUCUGUGACUGACUUGGCUUUCUUAUAAUUUUGCUUAUGUAUCAACUUGGUGCACACUGAGGCCUGAGGUUUCCAAUAUUUUUUAGUUCUAUCCCUCAAUAUUGAAUCGCGUAACAUUAUCAAUUUUGUGAAGGCAAUUGUCAAAGGAAACUGUAUUGGGAAAAAACUGAGUUUAUAUUAAAGAUAUGUGGCAUGACACGUGGAUUAGUUAAAUGGUCAAAGCGCAGCAAUUGACUAAGAGGCACGGAUGGAGACAGCCACGGGAAGAAGAAUUUAAAUAGGCACGAGACGACUUAUAGAUACGAGUCUCGUAUC
rnacentral:lncRNA from 1 species